rnacentral:rRNA from 1 species
UUAGGUAGUUGGUAGUGGUAAAAGCCUACCAAGCCAGAUCUUUAGUUGAUUUGAGAGAAUGAUCAACCACAUUGGGCCUGUAAAAUGCCCAACUUUCUUUUUGAUAGCAGCAGUGAGGAAUAUUGGACAAUGAGCGAAAGCUCGAUCCAGCAAUAUCACAUAAAUGAUGAAGGUUCGAUGAAUUGUAAAGUUUAUUUACUAAGGAGGAUGAUGACGUUACUUAGUAAAAAGCCCCGACUAACUUCGUGCCAGCAGUCGCGGUAAAACGGGGGGGGCAAGUGUUACUCGUCGUAAUUGGGCGUAAAGGGUACGUAGGUUGUUUUUUUAAUUAGGUAUUAAAUGUAAAAGCUAAACUUUUAGUAAGUAUACUAAUAUGAUUAAACUUGAGUCUAAAAAAGGAUAGUAGUAUUUUUAGUGGAGAGGUAAAAUUUGUAGAUAUUAAAAAGACUCGCACUCGGCGUAGGCGACUAUCUAGGUUAGUACUGACACUGAGGUACAAAAGUAUAGGGAGCAAAUAGGAU